rnacentral:sRNA from 1 species
GUUGUAGAUGAGCAUGAGAGUGUGGAGCAGA